rnacentral:rRNA from 1 species
GUUACUAUGGGGUUCCUCCCAACCCAAUGUGAACGUUACCAAACUGUUGCCUCCGGCGGGAUCUCUGCCCCGGGUGCGUCGCAGCCCCGGACCAAGGCGCCCGCCGGAGGACCAACCAAAACUCUUAUUGUAUACCCCCUCGCGGGUUUUUUUUAUAAUCUGAGCCUUCUCGGCGCCUCUCGUAGGCGUUUCGAAAAUGAAUCAAAACUUUCAACAACGGAUCUCUUGGUUCUGGCAUCGAUGAAGAACGCAGCGAAAUGCGAUAAGUAAUGUGAAUUGCAGAAUUCAGUGAAUCAUCGAAUCUUUGAACGCACAUUGCGCCCGCCAGUAUUCUGGCGGGCAUGCCUGUCCGAGCGUCAUUUCAACCCUCGAACCCCUCCGGGGGGUCGGCGUUGGGGAUCGGCCCUGCCUUGGCGGUGGCCGUCUCCGAAAUACAGUGGCGGUCUCGCCGCAGCCUCUCCUGCGCAGUAGUUUGCACACUCGCAUCGGGAGCGCGGCGCGUCCACAGCCGUUAAACACCCAACUUCUGAAAUGUUGACCUCGGAUCAGGUAGGAAUACCCGCUGAACUUAAGCAUAUCUAAAAGGGGAGAGAGAAA